rnacentral:rRNA from 1 species
AAUAUUGCGCAAUGGAGGGAACUCUGACGCAGCGACGCCGCGUGAGCGAUGAAGGUUUUCGGAUCGUAAAGCUCUGUCCUUGGGGAAGAAGGCGGCCAUUAUUGGCCACUUGACGGUACCUAAGGAGGAAGCACCGGCUAACUACGUGCCAGCCGCCGCGGUAAUACGUAGGGGGCAAGCGUUGUCCGGAAUUAUUGGGCGUAAAGGGUGCGUAGGCGGCCUUUUAAGUCAGAUGUGAAAGACCACGGCUUAACCGUGAGGUUGCAUUUGAAACUGGAGGGCUUGAGUAUCGGAGAGGGUAGUGGAAUACCCAGUGUAGCGGUGGAAUGCGUAGAUAUUGGGAGGAACACCAGUGGCGAAGGCGACUACCUGGACGAAAACUGACGCUGAGGCACGAAAGCUAGGGGAGCAAACAGG